CAUAGUCACAGGGCAAGAGGCUGGCAAGCAGGACUCUCCAAAUCUUCCUGUAGGCAGCUGCUCAAGGCUUCUGCCCUUUCUUGCAGGUAAGUGCUAUAUAUGUCUUCUUUGGUUGUUUUAGCAUACAUUAGGCAGUGUAGGACCUGCCGAAUAUGGGGUACAUUGGCAUUGUGGCAGGCUUAUGCAAUGUAUGUUCAUAUAAUGUAACUAAAUCCCCAUACUUUUCAUAUAUAGUGCUUAGUUAUGUCUCCUCUUGUUUUACCUUGUAUCUCUUGUCUUGUUUUAUUUUGUCUUGUAUUCCCAGUUCAUGUACAGUCCUGUCCUGCCCUGUUCUUGUUUUCCUCAUGUCUUGUGUACAUGGUCUGGGUUCUGCUUUCUGUCCUGCUCCCGUUCUGGGUUCUAUUAGUUUUGUCUUGUUUUCUUGUAUGGUGCCUAUCUCUAGUCUUGCCUUGCUUCUGUACUGGAUACACUCUCUUGCUGCAGAGCCUCCUUAUUCAGCUCUGGGAGGUCUGCUUAAUUUCUGCUCCUAGUUCCUGGGAUCCGCUGUAGCUGCAUCAGCAUUUUGGCUGCACAAACGCUGGUGCUCAACACCAGGGGGCGUGCGGUUACCCAGCACCAGCCCCUGACCUAUCCACUCUCAUGCUAAAGACUCCCACUUAGCAACAGGCAUACUGGGUCCCGGUCCUCGCACCGCCGCCUGGACAGUGUCUGGGUCCCGGGCACCGGACCGCCACCCUGACAGAUGGAACAUGGACAAUUAAACAUUCCAUGAUCACCCACAUUUCAUGAGUCCAGAAGAAGCCUGUGUUAGGUUAUACAUGACAGAACAUGGAUUAAUUAUCCAUAUAUAGUAGAAUUCCAUGUGCACCGUUUCUCUCUGGAUAGAACACUCUUUUUGCAGGAUAGACCUGCAGCCGUCACGAAAUGGGAGGACUCUGAACUACCGAAUCUGAUAAAAUCCUUUGAGCUCAGCAGACACAGUCCGGAUAAUGGAAAUGACAAUAAGUUGCAGAGUUAGUGGAGAACCAUAACUAUCUCUGCUUCUAUGUUAUUUAUUGUACACGUUUACAGUUAGGAUAUGGUUUUGACACUUUAUAACGUAGACAAAUUAUGUGCUAUCUGGUGGCAACUGGAAAAACCAUCUUGCAAAAAACAGUCUAGUAGACUGCAAUUAUUAAGCUAUACCACUCCCAUCUGUAGGCAACGCUAGUAAGCCCCAAACAAAAUCUUUUAUACAUAUGAAUAUAAGCAAUUUAAUUGGUAAAAAUGGUAAAACAAUGCAGAGAAGAACAUUGUGCAUGAAAAUAUUGACCUCUUCAUUCAUUCUUAUUCUUAAAAUAGAUAAAUUACAUUACCCUGAAAGUGCAGGUACAAUUGUUCAUUUGUUACGCACAGUUUCUGCUCAGUCUAUUUGUGGGUCUAAGCGAAUCUAGUAGUUUGAUUUUUAAUCACAGAAUAUUUGGCCCUAGUUCAGGAUAGUUUCAGUCUGUUUGGGGCUUCAGGGUAAAUAUGGAGAGACUUCAGUUUAG